GGGUUGUGAGGUUAAGCGACUAAGCGUACACGGUGGAUGCCCUGGCAGUCAGAGGCGAUGAAGGACGUGCUAAUCUGCGAUAAGCGUCGGUAAGGUGAUAUGAACCGUUAUAACCGGCGAUUUCCGAAUGGGGAAACCCAGUGUGUUUCGACACACUAUCAUUAACUGAAUCCAUAGGUUAAUGAGGCGAACCGGGGGAACUGAAACAUCUAAGUACCCCGAGGAAAAGAAAUCAACCGAGAUUCCCCCAGUAGCGGCGAGCGAACGGGGAGCAGCCCAGAGCCUGAAUCAGUGUGUGUGUUAGUGGAAGCGUCUGGAAAGGCGCGCGAUACAGGGUGACAGCCCCGUACACAAAAAUGCACAUACUGUGAGCUCGAUGAGUAGGGCGGGACACGUGGUAUCCUGUCUGAAUAUGGGGGGACCAUCCUCCAAGGCUAAAUACUCCUGACUGACCGAUAGUGAACCAGUACCGUGAGGGAAAGGCGAAAAGAACCCCGGCGAGGGGAGUGAAAAAGAACCUGAAACCGUGUACGUACAAGCAGUGGGAGCCUCUUAAUGGGGUGACUGCGUACCUUUUGUAUAAUGGGUCAGCGACUUAUAUUCUGUAGCAAGGUUAACCGAAUAGGGGAGCCGAAGGGAAACCGAGUCUUAACUGGGCGUUAAGUUGCAGGGUAUAGACCCGAAACCCGGUGAUCUAGCCAUGGGCAGGUUGAAGGUUGGGUAACACUAACUGGAGGACCGAACCGACUAAUGUUGAAAAAUUAGCGGAUGACUUGUGGCUGGGGGUGAAAGGCCAAUCAAACCGGGAGAUAGCUGGUUCUCCCCGAAAGCUAUUUAGGUAGCGCCUCGUGAAUUCAUCUCCGGGGGUAGAGCACUGUUUCGGCAAGGGGGUCAUCCCGACUUACCAACCCGAUGCAAACUGCGAAUACCGGAGAAUGUUAUCACGGGAGACACACGGCGGGUGCUAACGUCCGUCGUGAAGAGGGAAACAACCCAGACCGCCAGCUAAGGUCCCAAAGUCAUGGUUAAGUGGGAAACGAUGUGGGAAGGCCCAGACAGCCAGGAUGUUGGCUUAGAAGCAGCCAUCAUUUAAAGAAAGCGUAAUAGCUCACUGGUCGAGUCGGCCUGCGCGGAAGAUGUAACGGGGCUAAACCAUGCACCGAAGCUGCGGCAGCGACACUAUGUGUUGUUGGGUAGGGGAGCGUUCUGUAAGCCUGUGAAGGUGUACUGUGAGGUAUGCUGGAGGUAUCAGAAGUGCGAAUGCUGACAUAAGUAACGAUAAAGCGGGUGAAAAGCCCGCUCGCCGGAAGACCAAGGGUUCCUGUCCAACGUUAAUCGGGGCAGGGUGAGUCGACCCCUAAGGCGAGGCCGAAAGGCGUAGUCGAUGGGAAACAGGUUAAUAUUCCUGUACUUGGUGUUACUGCGAAGGGGGGACGGAGAAGGCUAUGUUGGCCGGGCGACGGUUGUCCCGGUUUAAGCGUGUAGGCUGAUUUUCCAGGCAAAUCCGGAAAAUCAAGGCUGAGGCGUGAUGACGAGGCACUACGGUGCUGAAGCAACAAAUGCCCUGCUUCCAGGAAAAGCCUCUAAGCAUCAGGUAACAUCAAAUCGUACCCCAAACCGACACAGGUGGUCAGGUAGAGAAUACCAAGGCGCUUGAGAGAACUCGGGUGAAGGAACUAGGCAAAAUGGUGCCGUAACUUCGGGAGAAGGCACGCUGAUAUGUAGGUGAAGUCCCUCGCGGAUGGAGCUGAAAUCAGUCGAAGAUACCAGCUGGCUGCAACUGUUUAUUAAAAACACAGCACUGUGCAAACACGAAAGUGGACGUAUACGGUGUGACGCCUGCCCGGUGCCGGAAGGUUAAUUGAUGGGGUUAGCGGUAACGCGAAGCUCUUGAUCGAAGCCCCGGUAAACGGCGGCCGUAACUAUAACGGUCCUAAGGUAGCGAAAUUCCUUGUCGGGUAAGUUCCGACCUGCACGAAUGGCGUAAUGAUGGCCAGGCUGUCUCCACCCGAGACUCAGUGAAAUUGAACUCGCUGUGAAGAUGCAGUGUACCCGCGGCAAGACGGAAAGACCCCGUGAACCUUUACUAUAGCUUGACACUGAACAUUGAGCCUUGAUGUGUAGGAUAGGUGGGAGGCUUUGAAGUGUGGACGCCAGUCUGCAUGGAGCCGGCCUUGAAAUACCACCCUUUAAUGUUUGAUGUUCUAACGUUGGCCCCUUACCGGGGUUGCGGACAGUGUCUGGUGGGUAGUUUGACUGGGGCGGUCUCCUCCUAAAGAGUAACGGAGGAGCACGAAGGUUGGCUAAUCCUGGUCGGACAUCAGGAGGUUAGUGCAAUGGCAUAAGCCAGCUUGACUGCGAGCGUGACGGCGCGAGCAGGUGCGAAAGCAGGUCAUAGUGAUCCGGUGGUUCUGAAUGGAAGGGCCAUCGCUCAACGGAUAAAAGGUACUCCGGGGAUAACAGGCUGAUACCGCCCAAGAGUUCAUAUCGACGGCGGUGUUUGGCACCUCGAUGUCGGCUCAUCACAUCCUGGGGCUGAAGUAGGUCCCAAGGGUAUGGCUGUUCGCCAUUUAAAGUGGUACGCGAGCUGGGUUUAGAACGUCGUGAGACAGUUCGGUCCCUAUCUGCCGUGGGCGCUGGAGAACUGAGGGGGGCUGCUCCUAGUACGAGAGGACCGGAGUGGACGCAUCACUGGUGUUCGGGUUGUCAUGCCAAUGGCACUGCCCGGUAGCUAAAUGCGGAAGAGAUAAGUGCUGAAAGCAUCUAAGCACGAAACUUGCCCCGAGAUGAGUUCUCCCUGACCCUUUAAGGGUCCUGAAGGAACGUUGAAGACGACGACGUUGAUAGGCCGGGUGUGUAAGCGCAGCGAUGCGUUGAGCUAACCGGUACUAAUGAACCGUGAGGCUUAACCUUACAACGCCGAAGGUGUUU
rnacentral:rRNA from 1 species